rnacentral:rRNA from 1 species
CCAUGCCGCGUGUAUGAAGAAGGCCUUCGGGUUGUAAAGUACUUUCAGCGGGGAGGAAGGUGUUGUGGUUAAUAACCGCAGCAAUUGACGUUACCCGCAGAAGAAGCACCGGCUAACUCCGUGCCAGCAGCCGCGGUAAUACGGAGGGUGCAAGCGUUAAUCGGAAUUACUGGGCGUAAAGCGCACGCAGGCGGUCUGUCAAGUCGGAUGUGAAAUCCCCGGGCUCAACCUGGGAACUGCAUUCGAAACUGGCAGGCUUGAGUCUUGUAG